rnacentral:lncRNA from 10 species
GCAAAACCUCUUCUGGUCAAUGUCUUACAGUGCAGAAGAGAGGACCUCAAAGUGCAACAUGAAAAACAAGCACCUUUGAGUGUUCACGGGGGCCACCAGAAGCCAGAAAACUUAAUUGAGUUGCAUGGAACAUGGCUUCUGACCUUAGGGCAGUCACCUGACAUGAUGAUUUCACCAAUGAAAUAGAACACCAACACGGUCCUGAACUGUACCAAUGUUUCUAAGACAAUCAAGCAACCUGACUGCUUUCCUGAGAAAGACAAUGUAGACAUUGAAGAAAUAAAAAGGGGAUGGCUCUAAGACGAAUUCAGCAAUCUGAAAGAACACUGUUGCAUAGCAGAGGGGAUUUAGAUGUUUUAAAAGGACGGUCUGCUGGAAAAUCCACUAAAGGCUGUUGUGUCAAAAGAACUAACAUUUGGAGAAGUAGCGUAUUUUACUCAAAAUUUCAAAAAGACUGCUUUGAUUAUCACUUGUUUUCUUCUCAGCAUGUAGUGGGAUUCACCUUCUUGAAGGUAGGCCUAGCCAUUUGACUUGGCAAAUAAAAUGUGAAUAAAGGUGAUGCCUUUAACAGCCAGCAUACAACUCUCCAUGUCCUCUUUCCCUGUUGCAGCAACAACUGAUAAUAGAGGGGAUGGACCCUUAUUAACUUGCAUUUUUGAGUAAGGAAAACAUGGAAGAGAGCCCACAGCUAACCCAUGAUGGACAUGUAGCACAAGUGAGCUACAGAUCUUUGUUGUGAAUUCAGC